rnacentral:rRNA from 1 species
GAUGAACGCUAGCGGCAGGCCUAAUACAUGCAAGUCGAACGGGGUGUUUCAGCAAUGGAACAUUCAGUGGCGCACGGGUGCGUAACGCGUAUGCAACCUACCUUAAACUGGGGGAUAGCCUUCCGAAAGGGAGAUUAAUACCGCAUAAUACUAUUUGAUGGCAUCUGAAGAUAGUUAAAGAUUUAUUGGUUUAAGAUGGGCAUGCGUGCCAUUAGCUAGUUGGUAGGGUAAUGGCCUACCAAGGCUACGAUGGCUAGGGGUUCUGAGAGGAUGAUCCCCCACACUGGUACUGAGAUACGGACCAGACUCCUACGGGAGGCAGCAGUAGGGAAUAUUGGGCAAUGGACGCAAGUCUGACCCAGCCAUUCCGCGUGCAGGAUGAAGGCCUUCUGGGUUGUAAACUGCUUUUAUCUAGGAAGAAAAAGCCCAUGCGUGGGAAACUGACGGUACUAGAUGAAUAAGCACCGGCUAACUCCGUGC